UUAAGUUCAGCGGGUAUUCCUACCUGAUCCGAGGUCAACCUUUAGAAAUUAGGUGGUUUUACGGCAAGGGACCGGUCCAACUGAUAGGCGAGAUAAAAUCUACUACGUCUAGAGUGUGAACCGACUCCGCCACUAACUUUCAGGAGCUACUAUUACCGUAGGCUCCCAACACUAAGCAACAGGGGCUUAAGGGUUGAAAU
rnacentral:misc_RNA from 1 species